AUUGAACGCUGGCGGCAUGCCUUACACAUGCAAGUCGAACGGCAGCACGGGAGCAAUCCUGGUGGCGAGUGGCGAACGGGUGAGUAAUAUAUCGGAACGUGCCCAGUCGUGGGGGAUAACGUAGCGAAAGCUACGCUAAUACCGCAUACGAUCUACGGAUGAAAGCGGGGGAUCGCAAGACCUCGCGCGAUUGGAGCGGCCGAUAUCUGAUUAGCUAGUUGGUGGGGUAAAGGCCCACCAAGGCGACGAUCAGUAGCUGGUCUGAGAGGACGACCAGGCCACACUGGAACUGAGACACGGUCCAGACUCCUACGGGAGGCAGCAGUGGGGAAUUUUGGACAAUGGGCGCAAGCCUGAUCCAGCCAUUCCGCGUGAGUGAAGAAGGCCUUCGGGUUGUAAGUACUCUUUCGCUAAGGGAAGGAAAACUUAAGUCCUCUAACAUAGGAUGAGGUUGACGGUACCUUGAUAAGAAGACACCGGCUAACUACGU
rnacentral:rRNA from 1 species